GAUGAACGCUGGCGGCGUGCCUAAUACAUGCAAGUCGAGCGAAUGGAUUAAGAGCUUGCUCUUAUGAAGUUAGCGGCGGACGGGUGAGUAACACGUGGGUAACCUGCCCAUAAGACUGGGAUAACUCCGGGAAACCGGGGCUAAUACCGGAUAACAUUUUGAACCGCAUGGUUCGAAAUUGAAAGGCGGCUUCGGCUGCCACUUAUGGAUGGACCCGCGUCGCAUUAGCUAGUUGGUGAGGUAACGGCCCACCAAGGCAACGAUGCGUAGCCGACCUGAGAGGGUGAUCGGCCACACUGGGACUGAGACACGGCCCAGACUCCUACGGGAGGCAGCAGUAGGGAAUCGUCCGCAAUGGACGAAAGUCUGACGGAGCAACGCCGCGUGAGUGAUGAAGGCUUUCGGGUCGUAAAACUCUGUUGUUAGGGAAGAACAAGUGCUAGUUGAAUAAGCUGGCACCUUGACGGUACCUAACCAGAAAGCCACGGCUAACUACGUGCCAGCCGCCGCCGUAA
rnacentral:rRNA from 1 species